GUGAGGAAUAUUGGUCAAUGGACGGAAGUCUGAACCAGCCAUGCCGCGUGCAGGAAUAAGGUCCUAUGGAUUGUAAACUGCUUUUAUUCGGGAAUAAACCUCUUUACGUGUAGGGAGCUGAAGGUACCGAAGGAAUAAGCACCGGCUAACUCCGUACCAGCAGCCGCGGUAAUACGGAGGGUGCAAGCGUUAUCCGGAAUCAUUGGGUUUAAAGGGUCCGCAGGCGGGCUAUCAAGUCAGAGGUGAAAUCCCACAGCUUAACUGUGGAACUGCCUUUGAAACUGAUGGUCUUGAAUUAAGUGGGCGUUGGCGGAAUAUGACAUGUGGCGGUGAAAUGCAUAGAUAUGUCAUGGAACACCGAAAGCGAAGGCAGCUAACGAUACUUAUAUUGACGCUCAUGGACGAAAGCGUGGGUAGCGAACAGGAUUAGAUACCCGAGUAGUCC
rnacentral:rRNA from 1 species